rnacentral:tRNA from 1 species
ACCCCACUAGUAUAACCGUACAGCUGGCUUCCAACCAUCAAGUCCCAAAUUAACACUUGGGGUGGGGUA